rnacentral:rRNA from 1 species
GUUGGGAAUCUUGCACAAUGGGGGAAACCCUGAUGCAGCGACGCCGCGUGGACGAUGAAGGCCUUAGGGUUGUAAAGUCCUUUUUUGGGGAAAGACUUAGGACGGUACCCCAAGAAUAAGCUCCGGCUAACUACGUGCCAGCAGCCGCGGUAAGACGUAGGGAGCAAGCGUUGUCCGGAUUUACUGGGCGUAAAGAGCGCGUAGGCGGCUCGUUAAGUGUGAAGUGAAAUCUCCAGUGCUCAACACGGAAACUGCUUUACAUACUGGCGAGCUUGAGGAAAGCAGAGGUAACUGGAAUUCCUGGUGUAGCGGUGAAAUGCGUUGAUAUCAGGAGGAACACCCAUGGCGAAGGCAGGUUACUGGGCUUUAUCUGACGCUGAGGCGCGAAAGCGUGGGUAGCAAACAGGAUUAGAAACCCCAGUAGUCC